rnacentral:lncRNA from 12 species
AUGAGGAACCUGGGAGGGAAUGAUCAUGUAAAGGCAGUCACUCACCAGGAGCAGGCUGAGACCAUUGUGUGCAUGACCCAAGGAGAGAGCCAAGAGGGACUCCAAGGCUCCUGGCUUCCAAGCUCUGCCCAAGAAGAGCUGUCCUACCCUCAGGAGAGCUUUACUGUAACCAGGCAAUUUAGCCUCCCAAGCAGUUGGACAGGCCCUGGAGAUAAUAAAGAAAGAAGGUAACAGAGUGGAUCUGCAAAGCCUUUAAUACACAGCAUUAAAAGGAAAAGAAGAUCCAGAGAGAUGCAUGUGUCCUUGAUCGUUGGCUAGGAGACAGGGUGGUCGGGUCAACACAGAUCAUAGCACGUGAGCUGGAAAGGGUCUCACAGAACAUCUGGUCUGACCCCUCAGGAUGGAGGAGUGCAGCAACUUGCCCUGGAUUGUACAGCUGCUCAGUAGAAAAUGUGGGACUAUAAAGCAGGUGUUCUACCUUUUAGUCCUGUGUUCUUUGUCCCCAUUAUAUCAUCCGAUCAUUUUCAUCCACAAAGCACACACUCCACUGGCUUUGGACUUCAGAGUCAUUCAUUGUAAUUAAAGGGAUGGUCACUUAGGAAUUGUUUCAAUUCGAUGCAAAGUUACUAAAGCCGUUCCCUGUGUUCUGGUGGAGCGGGGGUUGAAGAGCAAGGAGGUCUGGUUAUUGUUCUUAAACAACAGCAUCUGGCUGGGGAUAGAAAAACACACAGACCUGAAACAACCUUAGAAUAACUCUAAGACAACAAAUAAGUAGGAGAGUAGGGGAUGCUAAGCGGGCACACUGUGCAUCGGGGACUUAACAGUAAAGGAAGGUAGCCUCCGCCAGAGGAGGCUGUGUGGGGCAGGUGCGGGUGGUGAGGCGCUUGGCCCCGGAGAGUUGGAAUUAGAGAAAAUGGGGAGGGGGCCUGUCUGGUGGCAGAAACUGCCGAAGUAAAGGCCUGUGGCUGGAGAGAACACAGCAGACCUGCAGGGAAGGAGGAUUCACGCAGCUGAAGCAGGGAGAUGUGUUUGGGGUGGCAGGGGACUUGGACUCCGUGCGGAAGGCAAUGAGGAGCCAAUGCAGAUGGUUAAGCAAGGUAAUGCAAGAUGACAGCGAUGAGCUUAGGAAGGUGGAACUGACGCUGGCCACCCUAGAAGGUCCGAAGGCUGGAGGACUGAAUUCUAGGUAGGAGGGUGAUGAAGGGAGCCUUCCAGGCAAGAAGCAGUGGUGGUAGUGGAGAAGGGUAAGAGGCCAGAAAGCAAUCGAGGGGU